GGAAGGGAAGGAGACUGUAACCCUAAAUGUGCUGUAGCCGUUUGAUCUCGGACAAGUGGGUUUGUCUAGAAAACCAGGUUAUACUAUACAUGCCUACCCUUGUCUAUCCACUUAAAUUAUCUCCUACAAUUCCUGAAAAGGAAUAUGCAAUUAAAAUGUUCUUUGGGCUGAAAAAUGAUUCAUUUGUUAACUGCUAAAUGGGAAUUGAUUUUAAAGAAAAAAAUUAUAAGCUUCCUCUUUCUCCUCCUCCAUGACAUCCCCAAAUACAGACAAAAUAGGACACAAAGGGUGGGAAUUCUAGAAUACCUCAUCAUUGUAAUGAAUGAGGUUUGUGUCUAUGAAAUUCACUGUCUUUCUAUUUUCCUUUCUUUCCAAAUGCCGAGAUAUUUUUGAGGCAAAACUUUUGGGAAUUGAAGUAGUGUUUACUUUUCCAAAUGUUAGGAGUAGAACUGAAGAGUAGGGGAGAGAUUUUUUUUUUUUUUUUUUGUGAACUCUGCCUAAAAUUUCAAGUGAAUUAAUUUCCUGGGAUAUUGAGUUAAGAAGAAUCAAGCAUUAGAGGGAGAUCGAACCCAGUUCCUCAAACAUUCAAGGCAAGUGCUCUGCCACUGAACCACAAUCCCAGCCCAGGAUGUUGGUCUUUGGAUAUUGAAAAAUGAUGAAGAUGGAAGUAAGAAUAUGGUUUUGCAGCUCAAAGAACUCACAAUAUAAAACUCAAAUAAUUCUCUGCUGAUCAUGAAAUCUCAAACAAGGUUCAAGAAGACACAAGAAAAGGCUUGAAGUAGUAACUUAAGAUUUGUGAAAUGAAAUUGAUUUCCAUUCUAAUCAGGUCUUUUACUGUUCUUGAAAAUGUCAAUGUGUUAGCCUUGGCCAUUAUGAGACUAUGAUUUAUAGUUGAGACAAAGUGAUAGUACCAGCUGACUGUCUGGAGCCAUGGUAUGGUGUCUGGGAAGGCUGCUGAUGAUAGCCAUCACUUUUCAUAGCCAAUCAGCAUCACUUAACUAAGACCCAGGUCCUUUUUCCUCCAUCUUGAUAAGGGACAGAUAAAAUACAAUCUAGAAGAUUUUCUUUGUGGGAAAUAAACAAGCAUUAUGAAGGGAAGGAGGUAUCAUCCUUCACAGAAUAAAUUACAAACAUUAUUUAUGCCAAUCUGUAUUUCAGCGCUUUGGGAACACAUAUUCAUGAGAGGAACAUAAACUGAUGUUCCAAAUACGACAACUUAUUUUAAUAUACUGGAAACCACAGAAUAAUUUUAUAAUUUGAUUAAUUAGUGAGAAGAAUGGUGAAUGUUAAAAUAUAUUUUCAAAUUCUCUAAAUUAUAUUUAUAGCUUCUCAUCUGCAUCAUAAAACAAAAUGUUUUACAUUAGAAUCAUUACUUACAACAAAUUAAUCUUUUUGUCAUAAAGAAAGAUCCCUGGGUAGUAGUUAUUGAUAGUGAAAUGCUAUAACUGCUAGGGCAUCACCAUAAUAAACAAAAGUGCUAAAAAGGAAAGGAUAAGGUACAAAAUUCUAGCAUCCUAGCCAUAUAAUUGUAGCCAUCAUAUAUACAUAUAUACAUCUUUCACACACGCAUUCAUUACCAGGGCCUUAUUCUGUUAAUCUUCUUGUAGUUCACUGGGUGUCUAAUUAUUGUAAACCUGGUUUGGACAGAGAAGUGGAUUCACCAAUGGGCAUGUGAUCCAAACAGAGCCAAUCAGAGCCUUUCUGAUCACUGAAAUUUAUGUUUGGGUAAAACAAACCCUUCUCCCUUCUAGAAUCUCAAACUUCAGGAAUGAUGUGUGAUGUAAGUCUAGAGUUAACCGAGGCUGUCAUUUUUUUUCCACCACACAGCGAGAGUCACCUAAGAAUGAGGCCAACACAGUAGAGAAAGAGGGACAGGAAGUGACAUUGAAUGGGAGACACAGGGGCAGAAAGGAUAUAGAGGACUUGGGGAGGCGGAAAAUGGAUGAAUUAAGGAAUGAACACUUAUUUUGAGUGAAUGAAAUACAUUUAUGAAUUGGUGAAUUCCAUGUGUCUUUAAUUGUCAAAUAGCAUCUCUCCCCAGAACCAAUAACGAUGAUCACUAAGCAAUUUCAUGCUUCUGGGUUCAUUAUGACUUGCAAUCCCUGAUGACAUAAUAUCUAUGUAAAUUCCCAAAGCUUAAGAAAAACUUUCUAGGAAUUCCAUCCCUGAGUCAAGGCCAUAUUAACCUAAAAUGAACUUUAUAAACAGUUCUUUAUGUCAACAUAGAGACCAACAAAAUAAAUAUUCUUACAGAUGUGAUUAUUCCAGAUGCGCAUGCUUUGUAAGUAGGUAAAUAAAGGACAAAUAGAAUUUUCUUACUCAAUAAAUCAGCGAUAAAGUUGGGAUCACUUUUUUAAUCUCUCAAAUUUAUAAUCAUAUAGUCUUAUUAUUCAUUGCAAUUUGCUUUUUCAGUUACUUCAUUAUGCUUUUUAAAAUAUUUAAAUUA